rnacentral:rRNA from 1 species
GCUAACUACGUGCCAGCAGCCGCGGUAAUACGUAGGGUGCGAGCGUUAAUCGGAAUUACUGGGCGUAAAGCGUGCGCAGGCGGCGACAUAAGACAGAUGUGAAAUCCCCGGGCUCAACCUGGGAACGGCGUUUGUGACUGUGUGGCUAGAGUGUAGCAGAGGGGGGUGGAAUUCCACGUGUAGCAGUGAAAUGCGUAGAGAUGUGGAGGAACACCGAUGGCGAAGGCAGCCCCCUGGGUUAACACUGACGCUCAUGCACGAAAGCGUGGGGAGCAAACAGGAUUAGAUACCCUAGUAGUC